rnacentral:misc_RNA from 1 species
CUGCGAGUUCGCGGGAGAGUAAGUUAUUGCCAGGGUUUUUAUUUUAUACUUUAAACAUUGAUUUUAUUUUUUAUGUUUUUAGAUGUUCAUGUUUUUGAAUGUUUUAUUCNAAUAAUAUAAAAAAUAAAAUAUAUAUUGACAUGGAUUAAACAAAGAUAUAUAUUAUUCUAUGUUGCAUAAACAAAUUGGCAAAAUAGAGAUGGAAGAUAAAAAUAUGGUCAAAGUAAUAAGAGUCUAUGGUGAAUGCCUAGGA